rnacentral:misc_RNA from 1 species
GAUGGAGAACGCAGCGAAAUGCGAUAAGUAAUGUGAAUUGCAGAAUUCAGUGAAUCAUCGAAUCUUUGAACGCACCUUGCGCUCCUUGGUAUUCCGAGGAGCAUGCCUGUUUGAGUGUCAUGAAAUUCUCAACCUUUUCAGCUUUCUUUGUUGAUCAGGCUUGGAUGUGGGAGUAUGCGGGCUUCUCAGAAGUCGACUCUCCUGAAAUGCAUUAGCGGGACCUUUGUUGCCUGGCUUUGGUGUGAUAAUUAUCUACGCCAUUGUAGUCAAGCAGCUUAAAAUGAGGUUUCAGCUUCUAACCGUCUCCCCUGAGACAACUUUUUGACAAUUUGACCUCAAAUCAGGUAGGACUACCCGCUGAACUUAAGCAUAUCAAUAAGCGGAGGA